AUUUAGAGACCAUGACUCCUCCCUGUUAAAUCUGACAUGUGUUUGUCCUUUGUGUAACAGGACACCAAAUUCUGCCUGUGUGACAAAAGCGGACUCGAAAAUGGACAAAUUCAGUUUUGCAAACUUUUAGAAAGUUCCCUCCUCUAACGAGUUUGGCUUAACCUUUUGAAAGGCCUAAUUGUCUCACACCUGUCGGGUUUGGUGUGAACAGUGGUGUGUUCAUGUGAUAGCAAUCAGGAGGGGAGGAGGAAGUGAGUUUCUGUGUCUGGCAGGUACUCGCAGGCAUCAGUUUUCUUCUACUUCCCGCCUCCUGCGUUUCUCAUUCUCUCACUGCAUGUAGCAGGAACUUCCACACAGCUUUUUCUCCAAGACUCCUCGGCAAGAACACCUAGACGAGUCCUGCAGCACCAACCUGAUCUACACAGAGAACUGCUGAGAACUCUGCCUCAGGUGUAUCCCCUUCUGCAAUGGAAACUUCCAUACCUGUAAAUGCAAGAGGCAUCGACUAUAGCCUGCCAACCUGCGGGGAGACUCAAUGUAAUAGCCGCGGCUCCUGUGAGCCCCCAGUGGGAGGGGGCACAAACCUGGUGUGCAAAUGUGUCCUGGGUUACAGCGGUGAAUUCUGUGAGGACACUGUGAACGGACAGCUGAGUCUGCCCCUGACCAUCAGUGUGGUGGCGGUCAUCGUCGGGCUGCUCAUCCUGGCUUUUAUAAUUGCCAAGUUGAGACAAAGACAAAAGCAAAAUAGGAAACUUAAGGCAGCUGAAGUUUACUGUUGAGGUGAAGAAUCUGAGUGUCGCAUUGCUUCAUGGCUGACUUGACAAAGUGCUGCAUCCUGACUGAUUGGUCAGAGUGAUCCCUGCUCCUGCCUCCGACCGCUUUCUGCUCCUGCUGUUAAACUGUCGCACAAAAAAGCAUGCAUAUGUACAUGCUUUUAAUGCAGUCUGCGUAAAUAUUUAGUAGAUAAAUCUAGUCAGCACUGGUAUUUUAUUAGUCGCUUAGAUUUUGCACUCGUCUGCUAAACCCAGAGGACGCAAUCUAGAGGAGAGCUCCUCUGCUGGAGAACAAAGUGAGAUGAAACUAUAAUGAAUUACAAUGCAUGCAUUUGUUUUUUUUAUUUGCAAGUCAAAGCCUAUUUUUAUGUUUGAACACACAAAUGUUUGCCUUAACCACUCUGUAUUUCUACAGAAAAUGAAUCAAGAUAAAGAAUUAAGCUGUUUUUGGUAACAUUUUUCUGCAUUUUUUUUACAUUUAUUGUGCUACAUUGUCCGUGUUUAUUGUCCAUAACUGACUGAAAUGUUUAUAAGAUUCCUUACCUGUGAAUGCUGGCAUAAGUAAUGCACAACAGUUUUUUGAAACAUUUUUUCUCUGGUUUUAUGCUUCUGAAUUAGCAUUUUCCAUUGAAUAAUCUCUUAAUUAAAUCUAACCUAAAAAUGAGCCCAAAUACAAAUCUUUUUUUCUUUUUUUUAUGACUGGUACAGUUAACUAAGCAUUUAUUUUCUUUACAUUUUCAUGUAUUUUUUUCUGUGCUAUUUUAUUAUCUGGUAUUUGUACUGCUUUUCUUUUAGACCACAGAUAACUGCUCUUUUUAAAUCAAAGCUUUUUACAUAAAAUGUUUAAUAAAAUAAUUUGCAAAGCUUAGUCUUCCCCUUAAUUCUAUGCUAAAAAUUUU
ensembl:lncRNA